rnacentral:rRNA from 1 species
GAUGAACGCUGGCGGCGUGCCUAAUACAUGCAAGUCGAGCGAACAGACGAGGAGCUUGCUCCUCUGACGUUAGCGGCGGACGGGUGGGUAACACGUGGAUAACCUACCUAUAAGACUGGGAUAACUUCGGGAAACCGGAGCUAAUACCGGAUAAUAUAUUGAACCGCAUGGUUCAAUAGUGAAAGACGGUUUUGCUGUCACUUAUAGAUGGAUCCGCGCCGCAUUAGCUAGUUGGUAAGGUAACGGCUUACCAAGGCAACGAUGCGUAGCCGACCUGAGAGGGUGAUCGGCCACACUGGAACUGAGACACGGUCCAGACUCCUACGGGAGGCAGCAGUAGGGAAUCGUCCGCAAUGGGCGAAAGCCUGACGGAGCAACGCCGCGUGAGUGAUGAAGGUCUUCGGAUCGUAAAGCUCUGUUAUUAGGGAAGAACAAAUGUGUAAGUAACUAUGCACGUCUUGACGGUACCUAAUCAGAAAGCCACGGCUAACUACGUG